rnacentral:rRNA from 1 species
GACGAACGCUGGCGGCGUGCUUAACACAUGCAAGUCGAACGGAAAGGCCCUGCUUUUGUGGGGUGCUCGAGUGGCGAACGGGUGAGUAACACGUGAGUAACCUGCCCUUGACUUUGGGAUAACUUCAGGAAACUGGGGCUAAUACCGGAUAGGAGCUCCUGCUGCAUGGUGGGGGUUGGAAAGUUUCGGCGGUUGGGGAUGGACUCGCGGCUUAUCAGCUUGUUGGUGGGGUAGUGGCUUACCAAGGCUUUGACGGGUAGCCGGCCUGAGAGGGUGACCGGCCACAUUGGGACUGAGAUACGGCCCAGACUCCUACGGGAGGCAGCAGUGGGGAAUAUUGCACAGUGGGCGGAAGCCUGAUGCAGCAACGCCGCGUGCGGGAUGACGGCCUUCGGGUUGUAAACCGCUUUCGCCUGUGACGAAGCGUGAGUGACGGUAAUGGGUAAAGAAGCACCGGCUAACUACGUGCCAGCAGCCGCGGUGAUACGUAGGGUGCGAGCGUUGUCCGGAUUUAUUGGGCGUAAAGGGCUCGUAGGUGGUUGAUCGCGUCGGAAGUGUAGUCUUGGGGCUUAACCCUGAGCGUGCUUUCGAUACGGGUUGACUUGAGGAAGGUAGGGGAGAAUGGAAUUCCUGGUGGAGCGGUGGAAUGCGCAGAUAUCAGGAGGAACACCAGUGGCGAAGGCGGUUCUCUGGGCCUUUCCUGACGCUGAGGAGCGAAAGCGUGGGGAGCGAACAGGCUUAGAUACCCUGGUAGUCCACGCUGUAAACGGUGGGUACUAGGUGUGGGGUCCACUCCACGGGUUCCGUGCCGUAGCUAACGCUUUAAGUACCCCGCCUGGGGAGUACGGCCGCAAGGCUAAAACUCAAAGGAAUUGACGGGGCCCCGCACAAGCGGCGGAGCAUGCGGAUUAAUUCGAUGCAACGCGUAGAACCUUACCUGGGUUUGACAUGGAUCGGGAGUGCUCAGAGAUGGGUGUGCCUCUUUUGGGGUCGGUUCACAGGUGGUGCGUGGCUGUCGUCAGCUCGUGUCGUGAGAUGUUGGGUUAAGUCCCGCAACGAGCGCAACCCUUGUUCACUGUUGCCAGCACGUUAUGGUGGGGACUCAGUGGAGACCGCCGGGGUCAACUCGGAGGAAGGUGGGGAUGACGUCAAGUCAUCAUGCCCCUUAUGUCCAGGGCUUCACGCAUGCUACAAUGGCUGGUACAGAGAGUGGCGAGCCUGUGAGGGUGAGCGAAUCUCGGAAAGCCGGUCUCAGUUCGGAUUGGGGUCUGCAACUCGACCUCAUGAAGUCGGAGUCGCUAGUAAUCGCAGAUCAGCAACGCUGCGGUGAAUACGUUCCCGGGGCU